rnacentral:rRNA from 1 species
AGUAACGCGUAGGUAAUCUACCCUUAUAUUUGGGAUAACAUUGGGAAACUGGUGCUAAUACCGAAUGGUCUUCAUUGCUUUGGGGCGAUGGAGUAAAGGUGGCCUCUUUAUGAAAGCUACCGUGUAGGGAUGAGCCUGCGUACCAUUAGCUAGUAGGUGGGGUAAUGGCCCACCUAGGCUACGAUGGUUAGCGGGUCUGAGAGGAUGAUCCGCCACACUGGAACUGGAACACGGACCAG